UGAGUUUCCAUUUGUUAGAACUUGAAACUCCUAUGGUCAUCUACUUCCUUCCUGCCACAAGUAACAUAACUUGUAGGGGAAAAAACAACCUUGGCAUUUUAAAUAAAUAGGGUAAAGACCCCAGAAACUGAAUUGCUUGUUUUUUGUAUCUAUUUGAUACGAGAUCAAAGGCCCGACAAAUGCAUUCCAAACUAAAUGGGACCAUUCAGGAGUUUGUUAGCAAGGCCUUAGAUGCGUACAUGAAAGAACGGGAAAAUCAAGAUUUCAAAUAUUAGUAAUCUUGGUCCAAGAAACCAAAUCUUGCAGCCAAAGCGCAUUGGAUCUCCGUUACGAGCAUCAACGAUUCAAUUUCAGUAGGAGAUGGAUCACAAGCUCAAAUUCUUGAAGGCAAGGCCCAAUAAGAAGAUUCCAAGCCCAAUCAAGAAAUCCACCCAUACUUAGUUGAAAAUCAGGCCAAAUUGUCAAAGUGGCCCAAGUUGUAAAGUUUUAUUUUUAUUUAUUUAUUUAUUUAUUUUUACUUAGUUUAAUUUUUAUGUAAAUAUUCAGUCCCAGAGUCCCAAAUAAAGACCCUUGGCUGAAUUUCCAUAUUAAAAUAAUUAAGAGUUUUUUUUAUUUUAGUUUUCUAAUUAGAUUAGGACUAGUUAUAAGGCCUAUUUAAAGGCAUGGCUGGCCACCUUGUAAAUAACUUCUCAAAUAUAUCAAAAAUAUCAGAUUUGUUUAAGUGCAGAAUUCUCUUUGAGUUUUUUUCCAAGAAUUCUCUCUUGAGUUUUCUUUAGAAGUUGUUUUAACAAUCUUUUGAUUGUGGGAGCCAUCUUCAGCCUUCUUCUUGCCAUUGAUAUUCUUUGGAGGGGAGAUUAGAGCCGUUUGAAGGGAGUUGUGAGAUCUUUCGGGAUUUUAAGGCUUCUUAGGACUUAUCUUUUAAUUUCUUGCUGUCAAUUCUUUCUUUAUUUCUGCUUGUACUGAAUCUUUAUCUAAUUUAUUUUCUGUUCUUAUUGUGUUUUCAGCCUUUUUCUAUCUUAAGGAAUCAACCCAAAAAUCCCCAAUUUCUAGGGUUCUUCCAUACUCUUUUUGGGUGAAAUUAGAUUGUCGAAAUUUGGGGAAAACUAUCUUGGUGUUCAAUUGGGCAGAAUCGCAAUCUCCUUUAGGGUUUCAAGAACCCUUAUUAACACUUAUUUCUAUUCUCAAUUUGAUUCUUUGCUGUUUUGGGAAUUUUAUUUCAGAUCUGGAAAUUCAAAAUUCUAAUCUUUUAAUUUUCUGUUUCGUUUCAGAUCUGAUUGUUUAGGGUUUUCGUAGGAGUUUCCCGUGACUUGGCAACUCGAUCUUGGUCCGUGCGCAACCCCCGUAUCAUUUGGUAUCUGAUUUUGGGCGUUUUGGGUGUUCUUGGUUGAUUUCUAAACUGAUCUCAAUUUUUUAAAGCACAAACAGCAGUUUUACCCAGAAAAAUUGUUCGAAAAAAAAUUAUUUAAGUGGGUAAACGUUGUCCAAUUGAUCUGAAAUUUUACAUACAUAUUUGUCGCACUGUGAUUGAAUAUAAAAAAAUUAAUCCCGUAAAAAAAUCAGUCAAAAAAGUCAAAAAAAUAAAAAAGAUGAAAUUCAAUAAAAUUUUUAAAAAAAGAUUCAACGGGUUGAAUUUGGUGCCCAAACUUUCCAGAUCAAAAAUUCAAUAUUUAAGGACAUUCCAGAUUUAAUUUCAUGAUUUUUUGAGAUCGGGAACACCUCGAACGAAGUUGUCAAGUUACUCCGUAAUUUUUCGGGUUUUCUGUUUUCAGCAAUUUUUAUUGAUUCUUAGCUGUGAGUUUUCAUUUGUUUGCCUUUAUUUUUCCUUUACGAUAUCUAACACUUUCUUGUUUCUUGUGUUAGUAGGAUUUAAACGUGUGCCCAAUUCUUCCUCGGUGCAACACGAAUCAAUUGGUGUCUCGUCAGUUUUUGGCAUCCUAGUGCAAAUUAGGAUUCUUUGGUAGAUCGGUUCAUCCACUCUCUAAUUGGUUGAUAUAAACUCUCCUAAAGGACUCACAAGACUGAAUUCUAGCUCAUUGAGAAUUUAAAUUUUUCUUUUUGAGUGAUUAACGGUGAGGUUUGAUAACUUUUAUUUUUGAGUGUUGAGUGUUUAUUUUUGCAGGUUUUUUGGAAAAUGUCUAAAGAUAACCAUAAUGAUACACUUAUGGAAGUCCAACAACAGUUAGACGGACACGCUGCUGCAAUCACACAAAUAAAUGCUACACUUCAAGCAUUGAAUACUACUUUGAAUGAGGUACGAAUAAAUCAAGAACUUUAAUAUCGAGAUCCAAUCAGGGAAGAUAGGGAUAACCAGCCCCAUAGGCGCGACCCUCGACGUGUCCCUAGAAUGGAUGAUGAUUUUCAUGAUCAUGGACAACCUUCUUUGGCAAAACCGAAGUUCACAAUUCCCCAAUUUCGUGGUAAGAAUGAUCCAGAAGCUUAUUGUGAAUGAGAAUCUAAGAUUGAACUUAUGUUUAGGUAUUAUAAAUGUCCGGAUGAUGAAAAGGUAGCGUUAGCACCACUGGAAUUUUCUGAUUAUGCAUUAAGUUGGUGGACUCAACUUGGGGUAAACCGCCAUCGGAAUUAUGAAUGUGAGAUUUCGACAUGGGAUGAGUUGAAACAGAUUAUGCGUAAAAGGUUUAUUCCACCUCACUACUAUAGAGAAAUUAAAACAAAGCUGAGAAGACUUAUCCAAGGUAGUAGGACGGUGGAUGAAUAUUUUAAAGAGAUGGAGAUGCUCAUUCAGAGAGAUAAUGUGGAGGAGGAUGAAGAAACAACUAUGGUUCGAUUCAUUGAUGGUUUGAACAGGCCGAUAGCUAAUACAUUGAGGCUAUAAACUUACAUUGAUUUGGAAGAAGCAGUUCACAAAGCCAUUGAGAUCGAGCAAUAAUUAAAGGAACAAAGGUUUGGGUCCUUCUCUACUUCACAAUAUUACCGAGGUAACAAUUCCAAUUUUGAUUUUAAGAGUUCAAAACCACCUUUUGUUACUAAUAAGUCUUCUUUGAGUAACAAGCAAUCAGAUUGGAAAAAUGGGCUUCUGCUAAAACGCAAACACCUUCUAAGCAGCCCAAUUUAGGUGAUUCGAGUGCGAAGAGGACUCGUGAGAUUGAAUGCUUUAAGUGCAAAGGGCAUGGUCAUUAUAGUAGGGAAUACCCUAACACGAGAUUACUUCUUCUAAAAGAUAAUGGUGAGUACACUUCCGACUCUGAUAAAACAGAUCCAGAUAUGCCAGAACUUGUAGAUGACAGUGAUAAUGACGAAGAGUUGGUCGAACCACCAAACGAAAGGAACUUUGCUGAUUUUUCGUGCCUUGUAGUUCGCCAAACACUUAACAUCCAGAUGAAAGAUGAUGACAACCAAAGGACCAAUAUUUUCCAUUCUCGGUGUUUUAUUAAAGGUAACUUAUGUUCAAUCAUUAUUGAUAGUGGGAGUUGCUCGAAUGUAGUGAGUAGCUAUUUGGUGGAUUCUUUAAAGUUGCCUUGUACUAAACACCCUAAGCCAUAUCACCUUCAAUGGCUUAAUGAAUGCUCCGAAGUCAAAGUUACGAAACAGUCCUUGGUCACUUUUAAGAUUGGCAAUUAUGAGGAUGAAGUAUGGUGUGAUGUGGUCCCAAUGCAUGCGACACAUUUGCUUCUUGGACGUCCUUGGCAAUUUGAUCGUGAUGUUACACACCAAGGUAAACUUAAUCGAUACUCCCUUGUAUUUAAAGGUAAGAAAUUCACUUUUGCUCCUUUAAAUCCUACUGAUGUAUACAAAGAUCAAUUGAAGAUGAUAAAAUUUUGUGAGGGGGUAAGGGAGAAAGAGCAAAUACAAAAGACAGAGAGAAAAGAGGCUAAUAGUAAAAAAGUCAAAAUCUAAAAAGCCCAAAGGUGAGUGAAUCAAAAAGUGGUAAAAUGAGCGAAAAAAUUCUUUUGGCAACAAAAAAAGAUGUGAGGAGAGCCCUACUCAAUAAACAGCCUUGUAUCCUUGUGAGGUUUAGGCAAAAUUAUUUAUCUUUAUCUAACAUUAACGAAAAUUUGCCUAGUGUGUUUCAAUCUCUUUUGUAGGAUUAUGAGGAUGUUUUUAGUAAGGCCCCUAAAGGUUUACCACCUUUACGAGGGAUUGAACAUCAAAUUGACUUAGUACCCAGAGUUUCGAUUCCGAAUCGACCAGCCUAUAGAUGCAAUCCUGAGGAGACAAAAUAAUUGCAAAGGCAAGUUGAGGAGUUACUAGACAAAGGGUACAUCCGUGAAAGCCUAAGCCCUUGUGCUGUUCCUGUCUUAUUGGUGCCAAAGAAAGAUGGUACGUUUCGUAUGUGUGUUGAUUGUCGCCCAAUCAACAAAAUAACGGUAAAGUAUCGACAUCCAAUUCCUAGACUUGAUGAUAUGCUUGAUGAAUUACAUGGUUCAAUUAUAUUUACAAAAAUUGAUUUAAAAAGCGGUUAUCAUCAAAUUCGAAUGAGGGAAGGGGAUGAAUGGAAAACAGCCUUCAAAACAAAAUUUGGAUUGUAUGAAUGGUUAGUUAUGCCUUUCGGCCUUACUAAUGCACCCAGUACAUUUAUGAGAUUAAUGAAUCAUGUUUUAAGGCUUCACUUGGGUAAAUUUGUAGUAGUUUAUUUUGAUGACAUUUUAAUUUACUCAAAGACAUUAGAUGAUCAUGUUUUCCAUGUUCGAACCGUUUUGAAUAUUCUACGAGCUGAAAGAUUAUUUGCCAACCUUGAUAAAUGCACAUUCUGUUGUGAUAAACUAAUAUUUUUAGGUUUCAUAGUUAGUGCUCAAGGUAUUCAUGUCGACGAGGACAAAGUCAAGGCAAUUAAGGAGUGACCGACUCCUAAAUCGGUAACUGAGGUGAGAUCUUUCCAUGGUUUAGCUAGUUUUUAUAGACGAUUUGUGAAAGAUUUCUCUACUAUUGCUGCCCCAUUGACAGAGGUUAUAAAGAAAUCAGUGGGUUUCAAAUGGGGUGAAACCCAAGAAAAGGCCUUUCAAACUCUAAAAGCUAAGUUAUGUUCUGCUCUUUUGCUUAAAUUACCUGAUUUUGCUAAAACUUUUGAACUUGAGUGUGAUGCUUCAGGAAUUGGAAUCGGCGCCGUUUUAAUGCAAGAUAAGCAACCUAUUGCUUAUUUUAGUGAGAAAUUGAAUCGUGCACAGUUAAACUAUUCAACUUAUGACAAAGAACUCUUGGCAUUGGUUCGUGCACUUCAAGUAUGGCAACAUUAUUUGCUGCCUAAUGAGUUUGUCAUACACACAGAUCAUGAAUCCCUUAAAUGGUUAAAGGGACAAGGUAAGUAAGUAAGAGACAUGCCCGAUGGGNNNNNNNNNNNNNNNNNNNNNNNNNNNNNNNNNNNNNNNNNNNNNNNNNNNNNNNNNNNNNNNNNNNNNNNNNNNNNNNNNNNNNNNNNNNNNNNNNNNNNNNNNNNNNUAAAGUCUUAGGGUUUGAACAUAUUAAGGAGCUAUAUGAUGAUGAUGCUGAUUUCGGCCAUAUCUAUAGGAAUUGUGGACAUACUACUUUUGAAAAAUUUUAUCUUGUAGAUGGCUUUCUUUUUCGUAUAAACAGGUUAUGCAUACCAAAGUGUUUCAUGAGAGACUUAUUGAUUCAUGAGGCCCAUAGUGGGGGUUUGAUGGGACAUUUUGGAGUGGCCAAAACACUAGACAUCUUGCAAGAACACUUCCAUUGGCCACAUAUAAAAAAGGAUGUUGAAAAGGUAUGUUCCAAGUGCAUUACAUGCAAAUAAGCAAAAUCUAAGGUAAUGCCUUAUGGCCUUUACACUCCUUUACCGAUUCCUACUUCACCUUGGGUAGAUUUAUCCAUGGAUUUUAUUCUAGGUUUGCCUCGAAAUAAGAAAGGAAGAGAUAGUAUAUUUGUUGUUGUUGACAGGUUUUCAAAGAUGACACAUUUUAUUUCUUGUCACAAAACAUAUGAUGCUACACAUGUGGCAGACUUAUUCUUUAAAGAGGUGGCAAGACUUCAUGGCAUCCCUAAAAAAAUUGUUUCUGACAGAGAUGUCAAAUUCCUUAGCCACUUUUGGAAGGUAUUGUGGGGUAAGCUUGGUACUAAAUUACUUUAUUCCACUACAUGUCACCCCCAAACUGAUGGCCAAACCGAAGUAGUUAAUCGGAUCUUAGGGACUUUAUUACGAUCUGUUGUGGGAAAGAACAUUAGAAAUUGGGAAGAAUGCCUACUGUUUGUUGAAUUUGCAUAUAAUAGAUCUAUUCAUUCUACAACUGGUUAUUCUCCAUUUAAACUUGUUUAUGGUUUUAACCCACUAACAGUACUUGAUCUUGCGCCAUUACCACUGGAACACAUUGUUAAUUUAGAUGGUGAAUAGAAAGCUGAGUUGGUGAAAUCCUUACAUGAGAAGGCUAAGCAACGAAUAGCCAAAACAAAUGAUGCCAACACCAACAAAGCAAACAAGGGGCGCAAACGGGUUGUCCUAGAACCCGGCGAUUGGGUUUGGGUCCAUAUGAGGAAAGAACAAUUUCCUGCAAAAAGAAAGACCAAGUUGGACCUAAUGGGCGAUGGGCCUUUCCAAGUACUCGAGAGGAUCAACGAUAAUGCCUAUAAAAUUGAUCUACCUGGUGAGUACAAUGUAAGUUCCACUUUUAAAGUGGCUGACUUGUCCCCAUUUGAUUUUUCAGAUUCGAGGUCGAAUCUUUUUGAGGAAGGGGGGAAUGAUACGAGAUCAAAGGCCCGACAAAUGCAUUCCAAACUAAAUGGGACCAUUCAGGAGUUUGUUAGCAAGGCCUUAGAUGCGUACAUGAAAGAACGGGAAAAUCAAAAUUUCAAAUAUUGGGAAUCUUGGUCCAAGAAACCAAAUCUUGUGGCCAAAGCGCAUUGGAUCUCCGUUACGAGCAUCAACGAUUCAAUUUCAGCAGGAGAUGGAUCACAAGCCCAAAUUCUUGAAGGCAAGGCCCAAUAAGAAGAUUCCAAGCCCAAUCAAGAAAUCCACCCAUACUUAGUNNNNNNNNNNNNNNNNNNNNNNNNNNNNNNNNNNNNNNNNNNNNNNNNNNNNNNNNNNNNNNNNNNNNNNNNNNNNNNNNNNNNNNNNNNNNNNNNNNNNUUUUAUUUAUUUAUUUUUACUUAGUUUAAUUUUUAUGUAAAUAUUCAGUCCCAGAGUCCCAAAUAAAGACCCUUCGCUGAAUUUCCAUAUUAAAAUAAUUAGGAGUUUUUUUUAUUUUAGUUUUCUAAUUAGAUUAGGACUAGUUAUAAGGCCUAUUUAAAGGCAUGGCUGGCCACCUUGUAAAUAACUUCUCAAAUAUAUCAAAAAUAUCAGAUUUGUUUAAGUGC
rnacentral:lncRNA from 1 species